AUUGAACGCUGGCGGCAGGCCUAACACAUGCAAGUCGAACGGUAACAGGAAACAGCUUGCUGUUUCGCUGACGAGUGGCGGACGGGUGAGUAAUGUCUGGGAAACUGCCUGAUGGAGGGGGAUAACUACUGGAAACGGUAGCUAAUACCGCAUAACGUCGCAAGACCAAAAGAGGGGGACCCUCGGGGCCUCUUGCCAUCGGAUGUGCCCAGAUGGGAUUAGCUUGUGGUGGGUAACGGCUCACCAAGGCGACGAUCCCUAGCUGGUCUGAGAGGAUGACCAGCCACACUGGAACUGAGACACGGUCCAGACUCUACGGGAGGCAGCAGUGGGAAUAUUGCACAAUGGGCGCAAGCCUGAUGCAGCCAUGCCGC
rnacentral:rRNA from 1 species